CUUCUGUGAUGAAUCAAACUAGCUCACUAUGAUUUACAUAAUGAAAACAUUUGAACACCUGAGGGGG